GAUGAACGCUGGCGGCGUGCCUAAUACAUGCAAGUCGAGCGAACGGACGAGAAGCUUGCCUCUCUGAUGUUAGCGGCGGACGGGUGAGUAACACGUGGAUAACCUACCUAUAAGACUGGGAUAACUUCGGGAAACCGGAGCUAAUACCGGAUAAUAUUUUGAACCGAACGGUUCAAAAGUGAAAGACGGUCUUGCUGUCACAUAUAGAUGGAUCCGCGCUGCAUUAUCUAGUUGGUAAGGUAACGGCUUACCAAGGCAACGAUGCAUAGCCGACCUGAGAGGGUGAUCGGCCACACUGGAACUGAGACACGGUCCAGACUCCUACGGGAGGCAGCAGUAGGGAAUCUUCCGCAAUGGGCGAAAGCCUGACGGAGCAACGCCGCGUGAGUGAUGAAGGUCUUCGGAUCGUAAAACUCUGUUAUUAGGGAAGAACAUAUGUGUAAGUAACUGUGCACAUCGUGACGGUACCUAAUCAGAAAGCCACGGCUAACUACGUG
rnacentral:rRNA from 1 species